rnacentral:rRNA from 1 species
UAAUACGUAGGGUGCGAGCGUUAAUCGGAAUUACUGGGCGUAAAGCGUGCGCAGGCGGUUAUGUAAGACAGAUGUGAAAUCCCCGGGCUCAACCUGGGAACUGCAUUUGUGACUGCAUGGCUAGAGUACGGUAGAGGGGGAUGGAAUUCCGCGUGUAGCAGUGAAAUGCGUAGAUAUGCGGAGGAACACCGAUGGCGAAGGCAAUCCCCUGGACCUGUACUGACGCUCAUGCACGAAAGCGUGGGGAGCAAACAGGAUUAGAUACCCUGGUAGUCCACGCCCUAAACGAUGUCAACUGGUUGUUGGGAAUUAGUUUUCUCAGUAACGAAGCUAACGCGUGAAGUUGACCGCCUGGGGAGUACGGCCGCAAGGUUGAAACUCAAAUGAAUUGACGG